GCGUGUCCACGUCGGAGUGUUAAAUCAGCCAAUAAGGUUGAAGUUUUUUUCCAUGUCAGAAAUGAGAUAUUCAAUUUCUGCUUUCUUACCCGAUCUUCACACCUUCCACCUCUUCCCUUUCUCUUAUCUCCACAUCGGUUCCGUCAAUUAACUUCAUCACUUACCUUCCACCUUUUCUCUUUCUCUUAUCUCCACAUCGGUUUCGUCGAUUAACUUCAUCGCUAAGUGCUCCAAUCAAACCUUGAAUAAACACAUUCAAUUAUACCUUUCACCUUCUUCUCUGUUUUUCUAUUUAUACAUCUCAUUUCCUAUCUUAUGUCUCCAUCGAAGUUUAUAAGAUUCUAUCACACUCAUCGCGAUGAAACACACUGGCAACUCUUCACUCUCCAGCGACGGCAGGACCAGCAAGACGACCGUUGCCUCCUCUGCGACUGCGAGUCUCCUCAUGGUGGUGGUCUGAGAACCGGCGCUUCAUGUAGCUGGCACCUCGAGAAGAUAUGUAAUUGGUUCGCGGUGAAGGGUCCGGUGAGAAGUUCGAGUGCCAAGAUGAGGUUCGUUUCUACUAAAGUUUCGAUUUUUAGCCAUGGGAACUUGAAAUGAAUGUGAAAGUUUGAGACUUUAUCACUGGCAGUUAUGCAAGUGAUGCUUUGAUAAGCUGAGGUUCUUGAGUGUGACAGAGCCUGCUUUGCUUGGCGAUGGUGGUGACAAAGGAAGAACUUAUAGACUGUCUGUCUUGGAACCAUUUCUCAGAGUGGUACUUCAAAAUUCUUAAAGGCUCUUAAGGAAACCAAGGAUCUUGCUGCUGACAAGACAUGUUUCUUCUUCUCAAUCCUCGGGACGAAGGUGAUUUCACCAAGCUCCAUCUCCAGCAAGUGCUCAAGUUGUAAUGAACUACGCUUAGAACAGUAGGAAGCAAUCUGCUUCAAAUUGAGAGAUGCGUCUCUAAAGGGUGCUUUAGCUUUUAACUCUGAUGGUCGUUACUUGGCGACUAGAGGAGUUGAUCGCCAUGUUCAUAUAUCGGACGUCACAGGAACACUGUUUCUUCCCUAUGUUUCAGACACAGAACUGCAGAGCUCUACUCUGGUUCAUUUGAUCGAAGUGUCAAGGCGUGCACUUACGGUUGGGAGAGAUAGAGUCAUGCAACUACACAAGGAGGGUAAAAAGGCAGAGAAGCUUGAUGGAGGAGGUGGCAAAAGGGGAAAACACCAGCAUCUGGCAUGUCUUCACAUCUCAAUAGCUUAUGAGAUCACUAUGAAGAUUUCUGAGAUACAACUUCUUACAAACCCAGCAUCUCUGUUGGGUCAUUGAUGCAAAUCGAAACUGAAAGGAGAAGAAGAGGAACAACAAAAGAUAUGGGAAGCUAUGAAUAUGGUUCGAUUAGGUUCUUAAGUGAAGCUAAAGACAUUGGUGGGAGCGGUUUCGUUGAGAUUCUGAAGUUUCUUGCAGUCCACUACUCAGAGUAUUGACUGUUGCGGUGUCGUUGGUGGAUCCUCCUAUCAUGUACAUCGUAUCUGCAAUCCAGUCUCCGUAGAAGCAUAUGAUCUAAUUGUCAGUCAAGUUUGAGUCUUUUUGGGAGUUUAGUUUAUUACAGGUAGCUGUAUUAAUUUGUUUCAGCAAAUAGUUUCGAUUAACGCAGAAACUGUUUGGGGUGGCAAAAGACUAGAGUUGUAGCAUCUCUAUACUGUUGUCGGGGCGGGGCAUGUUGGUUUAUAAAAUUUUGUUUGUGAUUUGGAUUCUCUUUAAGGAAUUACAUAUAUUAUUAAUUUUUGCUAUGAUAAAAAUGUUUCAUUA